AGCGGGGGAUAACUAUUGGAAACGAUAGCUAAUACCGCAUAACAAUGGAUGACACAUGUCAUUUAUUUGAAAGGGGCAAUUGCUCCACUACAAGAUGGACCUGCGUUGUAUUAGCUAGUAGGUGAGGUAAUGGCUCACCUAGGCGACGAUACAUAGCCGACCUGAGAGGGUGAUCGGCCACACUGGGACUGAGACACGGCCCAGACUCCUACGGGAGGCAGCAGUAGGGAAUCUUCGGCAAUGGGGGCAACCCUGACCGAGCAACGCCGCGUGAGUGAAGAAGGUUUUCGGAUCGUAAAGCUCUGUUGUAAGUCAAGAACGGGUGUGAGAGUGGAAAGUUCACACUGUGACGGUAGCUUACCAGAAAGGGACGGCUAACUACGUGCCAGCAGCCGCGGUAAUACGUAGGUCCCGAGCGUUGUCCGGAUUUAUUGGGCGUAAAGCGAGCGCAGGCGGUUUGAUAAGUCUGAAGUUAAAGGCUGUGGCUCAACCAUAGUUCGCUUUGGAAACUGUCAAACUUGAGUGCAGAAGGGGAGAGUGGAAUUCCAUGUGUAGCGGUGAAAUGCGUAGAUAUAUGGAGGAACACCGGUGGCGAAAGCGGCUCUCUGGUCUGUAACUGACGCUGAGGCUCGAAAGCGUGGGGAGCGAACAGGAUUAGAUACCCUGGUAGUCCACGCCGUAAACGAUGAGUGCUAGGUGUUGGAUCCUUUCCGGGAUUCAGUGCCGCAGCUAACGCAUUAAGCACUCCGCCUGGGGAGUACGACCGCAAGGUUGAAACUCA
rnacentral:rRNA from 1 species